GUAAUCGGACAUUAAUCCACAUGUGUUAGGGUGGGUUAGAGUGAAACUUGAACUAAAUUUCACCCCAAUCCACUCCAACACAUGUGGAUCAGGGUGAAUUCGACA
rnacentral:pre_miRNA from 1 species